UUCCCACCUCCGAGGAGACCAGAGAGUGAUGUCUCAGCUGCUUUCCUCCAGAUCUCGACUGCCCUCUGGCCACGCCCCUGUUUCUGGAAGGCUCCAGGCUGCAACUAACGCUGUUUUGUUAAAUGAAGAUGUUCCAAACUUGAUCUCCUAGGACCUUUUGAGGUGAGAACCAUCCAUCCAUCUGUCCUACAGGCACACCUCUAUUGAUCUGAAGGACAAAGCCAGCAAAAUAAGAGCCAACUCAGCCUUGAUGGGAUCUGCCCACGGAUUUCCUGAGCUUGUCUGAUCCUGGGACAGAAAGAGGGAGGAGACUGUUUGGUCUCCUGGAACCAGGCACCCUUCUUGUAGAAGAGGGAAGAAACUCCAGUGGGUCCCAAGUCUGCUUCCCGUAGUAGCCCUAGGACCCAACCCAAGGCCCCAGAGAUCGCCCUGUUGGAAUCAUCCGGAAGGUAGAAACUGACUUCCACUCCUGGUGAUAGCUGAGUCUCGUACUGCUGUCAGAAUCUUCUGCAAGCCUGCCCAGCCUCCCUGAGAUUGGUCAGGCAUACCACGGGGACAUAGCCAAGGGGACACUUGCUUUCUAGACUGGAGCCAGCAGGUUUUCUCUCUAAGAGCGCUGGCCUGGCUUCCCAAGAGAUGAGCCCCUGGCAGUGGUGAGAUGGCAGCCCCUGUACGAACCUCAUCAGUUCCACCCCAGCAACAGAAGCUAAGAUUCAGGGAGCCCUCCUAAUUGGUCCCAGAACUCUAAAAUGGGGGGGGGUGGCUUGGUGCAGAGGUGGCCCAUUGCUCUUCUGGUAGGAUGGGAAUGACGCUAUGACUUUGGUCUCUGUCAUCUCAUGUCAUCAUCACACAGGCCCAUGACCAGUCUGACAGCAGACAACAAAAGAGAGCCGGAGAACCGGAAGGGAGCAGAAUGCUUGCCUUAGCACACUCCACCGACCCACACGGACCCUUCCCAAUCCCCAUCUCUCUGUAGACAUCCCUGUGGCAGCCUCAUGGGACACUCCGACCUCAGUCAGUCAUUAUGUUCAAGCAGUGGCUGACACUGAAGUCUCCCAAAAGUACAGUGGUGGCAGUCACUGGGUGGGGUGGGCCUGAGUUUCUUACUUAGCACAGUAGGUAGGACUUGGGGUGCUUGGCUUUCUAACCCCCUUUAAAAAUGUUUUUAAAAGGGGUUGGGGAUUUAGCUCAGUGGUAGAGCGCUUGCCUAGCAAGUGCAAGGCCCUAGGUUCGGUCCCCAGCUCUGAAAAAAAGAAAAAAAAGUUUAAAAAAAAGAAUUAUUAUUUAUUUUAUUUAUAUGAGUACACUGUAACUGUCUUCAGACACACCAGAAGAGGGCAUCGGAUCUAUUACAGAUGGUUGUGAGCCACCAUGCGGGUGCUGGGAAUUGAACUCAGGACCUCUGGAAGAGCAGUCAGUGCUCUUAGCUACUGAGCCAUCUCUCCAGUCUGUGUACGUCUUUGAGUGCAUGAGUGUUUUGCCUCAUCUGUAUAUAUGCGCCUGCAGAGGCCAGAAGGAGGUAUCAGAUCUCCUGGAACUGGAGUUAGAAUUGCGAGCUGCUGUGUAGGUUCUGGAAACAAAACUCGGGUCCUCUGCAAGAGCAGCAGGCGCUUUUAAGCCCUAAGCCAUCACUCUCGACCCUCCACCUCAUUUUUCUGAGACAUGGCCACUCAGCCAGGUGGCGAUGGUGGCACACACCACACCUUUAAUCCUAGCACUUGGGAGAAAGAGGCAGGAGGAUCUCUGUGAUUAUGAGGUCAGCAUGGUCUACAGAGUUCUGAGACCGCCAGAGCUACACAGAGAAACCCUGUCUCAAAAAGAAAAAAAGAAAAGAAAAGAAAGAAAGGAGAAAAAGCAAAAAAGGAAAAAAAAGAAAAAAGAAAAGAAAAAGAAAGAAAAAGAAAAAUGGAAAGAAAAAAGAAAAGAGAAAGAAAGAAAGAAAGAAAGAAAGAAAGAAAGAAAGAAAGAAAGGAAAGAAGAGAAAAGACCUGAAGUUAUGUUUGGCUAGAGUAGCCGGCCAGUGAACUCCAAGGGUCCAUUUGUCUCCGUCACGUCUAUGUCCAAUGCUGUAGUUAAGGUGUGCACAGACCCAGCCACACGACAACUAUGUAUAGACCUGGCUGUGCAGUCUGGGGAAGUGCUGUUAGGAGGCAGAAGGCUGAGUGGGGAACUCCGUCUGUGCAGGUUUUAGAUUAGCCCCUGCGCAGCCGGUUAAUAACGCAGCUGCCUGGGGGUCGCCCACGCUCUCGUAACUCUGUGGUUUGCCAUGCUGUGCCAGAUGGGGUUGUGCUUCUGGUCGUGUUGUUAGCACUCUGUCUGGGACAAGAGGAAUUGUUCACGUCUGGAGUUGAAGAGACGGCUCAGUUGUUAAGAGUACCAGUGACUCUUGAAAAGGACCCAGGUUUGGUUCCUAGCACCCACGUGGAGGCUCAAACCAUUGGUAUCUCCAACUUCCAGGGGGUCUGACACCCUCCGCAGGCACCGGACAUUCAUAUGGUGCAUAUAUACAUACAUGGAGGCAAAACACCCAAACAUAUAAUAAAUCUUUUCAUUUUCUAAUUUAUUUUCUGUGUGAGUACACUCACUCAGCUGCUUUCACACCAGAAGAGGGCAUCGGAUCCCUUUACAGAUGGCUGUGAGCCACCAUGUGGUUGCUGGGAAUUGAACUCAGGACCUCUGGAAGAGCAGUCAGUGCUCUUAACCACUGAGCCAUCUCUCCAGCCCCCACUUAAAUAAAUCUUUUUUUUUUUAAAAAUGUAUUUUAAAGAAAUGUGUUCACAACUUCUCAGGAGAAGUUAACCGAACACUCCCAAGCUCGUGUCUGGGGCGUUGUCUUUAGGAGUGUGUGAGGCCCGCCUGACAGAAGCGAGGUACGGGAGGUGAACCUUUGAAGGUUCUAUCCACUCUAGUUCUAGUCUGGCCUGAGUUGUCUGCUUCUUGAUCUCCCCGUCCCACCACCGACUGCGCUGUUUCCUCUGCUAUGCUUUCUUCCCUGUGGACCGACGUCAUGGGCCACAAUAACCCUGUCCCAUUAAGGUGCUUCUGUCAGGUGUUUGGCCACAGCCACAAGAAAGGUGACAAGGCUAGACUACGGGUACUGAGAGUGGAGUUGUUGGUGUGGUGAAGCUCACCACGUGCUUCAUUAGCCUUCAGAAUCAGUUUCUGGAAGAAUUUGCCUCAGAAUGCUGUGAGCCGAACUUAAUGGGCCAUUCUGGCGGGAGUUCCGAAGACCAGAAUGCCAAGAGAAAUGUGGACGUGGGAGAACGUAACCACACUAGUGGAAAAUAGACAGCUCCCAGGCCAAGAUGACACACAGUGAACUCUAAGGCUCCAGCUGCCUUAAGGGCCCCUGUAUCUACAGCCUUGGCUCACAUGGGCUAUUGCUAGGGCUGUCCCGAGGAGCAUCUACAAUUUUCCUCAGCAGACAUCCCGUGUUCCUGGUAUCAACAUUUCCAUAGCAACUGUGGCUUUACCUUCUUGACUAAUAUGCAUGUACACAUGUACACAAUUGGGCCAGGGGGUCAGAAGACAUUUUCAGGAGUUGGUUCUCUUGCCCUCCACUGUACUCUGGAGAUCAAGCUCAGGUUGGCUGCCUUGCAGGGCAAGCAUAGCCACAUGCAGAGCCAUCUUAAUGGCUCAGGUCCGUUUUUUCCUUGCUGUCCUCCCAUUCCCUUUUGGGAUGGGAAUGUUUCCUCAGCCAAGACUAUAGAGUGCCUAUUUCAACAAUCCCCUUCCAAGAAAGGAAGUUUGUAACUUGCUGAUUAAUUACAAGAGCUCAUAACUGAGUUUGCCCUGAAUCUCAGAAGAUACUUUGGACUUUCGAAGAGUAUUGGGAUUCAAAACUGUGGGGACUUUUGAUGUUGUAUGGAAUUUCAUUUACAUUAUGAGAUGUCCAUGAACAUAUGGGGACUAGGGCAAAAUGUAUAAUCUCAAAUGUCUCCCACAGGUUCAUGUUUGGGGUACUUUGUCCCUGGCUGGUGGCACUGCUUCUGAAAGCCAUGGAACACUUAGGGGGUGGGGAUGGGGAGAAUGUGGCAGGAGAAGGGCACUGGGGGCCUUGAAAGGUGAUACUCACUUCUGGUCUUAAUCAAGAUGUAGAGAGCUCCCACUGCUAGGCCUUCCUCAUGUGAUGGCUGAGACCAGGAGCUAACACAAAGCUUCGUCCUUUGUGAUGAUGUGAGAAAGACAUUUUUUUUUUUAAAAGACAGGGUUUCUCUGUGUAGCCCUGGCUGUCCUGGAACUCUCUCUAUAGACCAGGCUGGCCUCAAACUCACAAAGAUCUGCCUUCCUCUGCCUCCAAGGUGCUGGUGGAUACAUCUUCUUAACAAGAAAUAUCAGGGGACAAAAAAGUAGACUUCAGGAAGAAAAACACAAAAGCAGAGAUGAAACCCUCCCAGGAAGAUUAAGGAAAAUAGAUGAUAGAGGCUCUCUGUCCAGAUCACCAGAUAUCUGAGCAAAUGCGGAAUUCCUGGGAAAGCGGCAGAGAUCAGAGUAAAUUGAAACCCAGGCUUUCCUGGUAUCUGAAGGACGUGGAGACACCAAAUGGGACCCCAGAAUGUGAAAUACCCUGUGAAAUAGAGAAGACUCAAUGUCCAUAUAGUAAUGUUUCAGAACAUCGCAGAGAGGGGGAAGUCCUUUAAGUUCUGAGAGGAAAAAUUAUCAAGCCAAUUUGGGGUUCUUAACGACCCGGAAAGUGAGGCUUUCAGCUUCUGAAAGGCGUUUCCCUGCCAGAACUCUGUACCCAGCCAAACUUUCACCUGAACACAAACGCAGGGCACUUUCAGAUGUUUACGGCCUGUGCACUGUGUUUCAGGAAGCUAGGUGGGUAGACACCCAGCCAAGACUUUAUGAAGAGGGAAAUUUAGGAAACAGAGAUGAACUGUGGUGUGGACAAGUGAAGGCAAGCUUUCCGGGGUGUGUUGGGGUAGGGGUGGGGGGUGGUGUCCAGCCAAGGGAACACCUGCGCUUCAAGCACACAUGGCCAAAGCCUCAGGCAACUGAGGUGACUGUGAUAAGACACCUGGUGCAGCUAGGUAAUCUUCAGGGCUUUCACACACCCACAGGGUUUAGGCUCGGUUGCUAAACUGAAUUUUAGCUCAGCCGCAUACGAUUCCAGGUACAGCACCCACGGCCCCUGCCCGAUUCACUGGAUCACAUAGCUCAGUUGAUAAGAACAGUCAUUUAGUCAGGAAAUAUUGACCACUGAACUUAGGAAACUACUUGGAGGAGGCAGGGGCCCAGAGACUUAAGGGUCUUGUGAAGUCGACACUUAAUUUCAAAAACUAAAACUUGAGAAGUGGCGGAAGCAUGUCACUGAGAGGCAGCGGUCAACACUCCAUCACCCUAGGUAAAAAAAACCUCACCACUUUGGAAGUCCUGGCACAUUUUAGAAUGUCUUGGCAUUAAGACAACACUGGUACACUGCCCCCCUCCCUUGCUCUCGGCCUCACUGCAGACAGGCCUUUCCUGUCUCCUUGCCCUUGGGGACGUCCUGAGUAGUUAAGCCUGAUACUUGGAAGCACUGCUGCGUUGAAGUGGAUUUUAAUCUGAGAGGCCUGGUGCAACCCUCCUUAGAGCCACAUUUCUGGCACCUUAAGUGCAAGCCGGUGGUGUGCAGCCUAAAUCGAGCGGUCAGUCUUCUGAAAAGUGAUACUCCAUUUUGAGAGGCCACUUCAGCUUUUAAUCAGCUCCUCCUUCCCUUUUAAUGUUAACAUUAAACAUUAAGACAUCUUUCUAGGGGUUGAUGAGAUGGCUCAGUGGUUAUGAGUGCUUUCUCCUCUUGAAGGGGAUGUGGAUUCCUAACAUCGCCAAGAAAGGUGGCUCACCAGUCACUCCAGGUCCAGGGGAUCUGAUGCCCUCUUCUGGCCUUGUUGAGCAUUGCAUACACAAACCAGCCAAACCAGCCAAAACUCACACAUUAAAAACUAAAAACUAAAACACAUACUUUAUUUACGAGAGAGAGAGAGAGAGAGAGAGAGAGAGAGAGAGAGAGAGAGAGAGAGAGAGAAUAUGAGAAUAUCUAUCCUUUGGACAGUUCCUCUGAAUUCCACAACUUCAAAAAGGCUUUAAAUGCUUUAAAUGUACACACAAUUUAGAAUGAAGUUAAGUGGCACCGACACACACACACACACACACACACACACACACACACACACACACACACACACACACACACACACACACGAGUUUUACCCAGGUGGGUUAUUUCAGAUUCCUAGUUCCUUGGGUUGGAAAAUGGUCUUCUUCUUAGACAAACAAGGAAUUUAAAACAUUUUACUUAAAAGGCAAAAUGUUCCCAAUGAAAAGCCAAAAAUCUCAAAUUUCUUAGUUAAGCUGGUCAACCCAGACUGGCUCACUGAUGAAUGCCAGUAAAGAGGUAUUACAGAAGAAACUCCAGCCGCCAGACUCCUCCAAGAGUGCGGCCCAAGGAAAACAUCUUUUAAAAUAUUGUUGCGCACCACGAAAACUCUGGAAUUCCACGUUACCAGAUUGGUUUUUGGUUUUCCCCCCCCAAUUUAUCCUCAAAAACCACACGAUAGCUCUGGCCCUAUCUGCUUCAAAUAAAUGGAAUCCAGUUAUUCUGGCUGGUAGCCCUUCCUCCUUACCCCAAAACCUAAGAUGUGAGUUCAAGGCCAGCCUGGUCUACAUGGUGAAUUCUGGGACAGCCAGGGUUACAAAACAACAACGAAACAAAAACAAAAACAAAACAAAACAAAAAGAUGGAGUUUUAACAGGCAAGUGGAAAAAAAUGACCAAAGAACUGAACCUUCCCCUUAGUGUUGCCCAAAGCAAGGCUCUUUUUCUUAAAACUGGGAAAUGGCAAAAGGAACAAAAGCUUAGCUCAUCUGUAGAGUGUCUUCCUAGUACCUACAAGGGUCUGGCCUUGACUGCCAGCAAGGCUAAGUGGGUGUGGUGGCACAUACCUAAAUCCCAGCAUUGAGGGGCAGCCAAAGGAAUCAAACGUACAAGACCAUCUUUGGAUAUAGACCAAGUUUGAGGCUAGCCUGAGCUACUUAAAAUCCUGGCCUUUAAAAAAAAAAAAGAUAAGAAACUUCCCAAAGCAACUUACAUUCUCUGGAGAGGAUGCGAUACUAAAACAGCUGUGGUGCACAUCUAUAAUCUUCUGAGGAAACAAGGCGGGAAGACCCGAGGUCCAGGUCAUCCUAGCCUACAGGAAGACCGUGUGGAAAAAAAAAAAAAAAGAUGGGUUUCUACGUCCUUAGAAAACUUGGUUCAGGAGUGUCAUCAGAUCAGCUUUCUAAAGCCCGUGUUUAAGGUUUGCUGCGAGCUCCGAGCACUGCACAGAAGCCCACUGGUACUGUACUGUCAGGGCAUUUAGCUCGAUGAUCUAGCAAAGCAACUCCCACGAGCCACUACAGUAUAUGAACUGGCUCUGUGUGCAGAACGCAUGGGCGCUGAGGGACUGUAGGACCAACACUAACAGAGGUACUCCCGCACCCCAACAGAUGCCGAUAUGAGUAAAUGCACAAAAAUUGGCUUAGGCUACUCCCAAUAUUAAAACCUGGCUGUAGGAUGACUCAGCAGGAGUAGGGAAAUCAAGGGAAAAAGCAAAACUUGAUUUAGAUAUUUACCUGUAUUUCUUCACAAUGGAGCACACGUCUGCACAAAUUCAGUGUCUAGGUAGGCUGGUAGGACUGCCCUAGGUUAUAAUGAACUCAUCCUGUCAUUUCCUGUGAAAAUUCGUUCAGAGAACACUGAGAAGAAGUCUAGUUUCUCAGGAGCUCUCAGGAAGUGAGCAGAAGGAAUCUCCGGGCACAGUUGGCGUCUCCUGGUCAGUCAGCGUAAGCUCUCAGUGGGGUCAGAGGCAGUCGCCUCUGCCUACUGCCUUGCACAAUCUCAAACCAGUCAAUAACCUACCUCUCAGACCACCAUUUCGGUCUCUUCCUCCGAUCCAGUAGCACUGAGGCUCGAACCCUGGACCACCAGCAUGCAGGACAAUUGGUCCAUCACCCGGCCCCAUCCACAGCCCUCUUCCUCAUUGCUCUGUCCAAACAGGCUGUGUGCCUUGCUACCAAAUCUCCAACAGUGUAACUUGGUUCCUUACGGCAGUUAAGUUUAGAGAACAAGACAAUGGCAAGGCAGGCCUUUGAUCCCAGUAUUGGGAAGUGGAUUCCAGAUCAGCUAGGGCUACAUGGUGAGAUCCUGUCUCUCACCAACCAGGCAAACCAAACCAAAGGAACAGAGAGCUGGGCCAUUAUUGCAAAUGAAAAAUGUUUCCAGCUCCACACUGGCUAUGGUGGAAUUGUCUCUCCCUUCUCGACGGCAGCACUUAGAAGAACAAAAAGGGAGUUUUGCAAUUAAUAGUACGGGCAAGGAAAUGCCCGCUCUAGCUAAACACGGCUGUAUUUAGAAGUUUUCUUAAGCAGCUAUUCGGGUCUUACGUACACGCUCAUACCAGCGGUUCUGAAGAUAAAUCAAAGCACAAAGCCUUUAUUGAACUGCAGACUGUGAAUAAUGAACCCCGUGGGAUGGGGUGUGUGUGUGCAUAGAAGUGCAAUUUAUAAACUUUCAAGGCAAACAACUGACAUCUUUGAAGACACUGUGAGCUUUAAAAAAAAAAAAAAAAAAAAAAGCUUCCAGGUGUGAAAUUCACUGUUUUCGUCACUGGUGCCCAGUCACACAGCCUCAGGAAAUGUGGAGAUUUCAUAAACCAUUUGUAUCAAAUCUCUUUUCUGGUAAAUUCCUUGAGUGCCUCUGCAGCGGAAACUAGACCAGACUGGAGAGUUGAGGACUCAGACCUCCAGCACCUCAUGGGCGUCUGCGUUGCUUAACACUGAAGGCAAUGCUAAAGAAAAUAAACAGAGAGCCGGUUAGACACGCGCCAACUUCAGCCGACGGCUAAGCAAGUCUAUAGGAUAUGCCACCAGAGAGCAGUGCUGAUGCCAGUGGCCCUUCCCACUGUGUCAAAACGAAAAAACACUGGCUGCUACCGUCCUUCCUUCCCCUUCUAACAAUCCGCACACAAGCAGCACUCCGGAGCAGUGUGGGGCGUCACAGAAUCGCUGACUUUCAAAGACUUGAAAACUUCGGGGUAACGUAACAGGAAACCUUGAAGGCCAGAGUCUAGGUUUAGAGUUCUGCAGCGAGCUGUAGCGCCACGUAAAAGGCUAAACUGAUCUCGGAACAGCGGUAAACAGCAUGGAACCCAAGGAAAACGAGUUUGCGCUCCAGUCCAAGAACGAGACUGACAAGCCAGGUUUGGGGGCCGAGUCUUAGGAGGCAAGCUCUACACCCCAACGGGUACUGGCUGUAGUGCUCCUCUAGGCCCCGACCCCACCCCACCCCACCACCUAGGAGCAACCACUGUGAGCCCCACCACCCCAUAGCACUUUUAACAUAAAGUUCCUCCGGCUACUAAGAGACCCUCUUCAUCAAGCUGCAGGGAGGCUGUGGGAUACAGAGCUGAGGGAGUGACAAGUGACAGGAACUGAAACAGGAGUGUCAGUCUCGCUCAGACUACAAAGAAACCCAUCUCCCUACUUUAAAAAAAAAACCCUCUGAAAUGUAAAAAUAAAAAUACCCAAUAAGCGGACUCACUACAACACACGAUCUCCUGUUUCAUCCCUACAUAAGCCGCACACUACCACAGCAGCCAGCUGGGGCCCCCUCUGCUACCCCUCUCUCGGCUGCCUCUUGUGGACUAAUUGGGAUUAAGGGCAAACUAAGUAGGCCUUUAGUAGGAGACCAAAUAUUUACUCAAAACAUCAAGCCUCUGAUUAGAGUGGACUAGGCAAUCGAUUAAUUGACCAGACUGUCUUAAGCAGGCUUCUACAGAAAAGCUCCCAGGUCUGAACUAUGUGAGAUACUGAGGGGCCGCCUUGGUGUUCUCUAUCAUUUAUUCUAGCCAUGUACACUUGGAUAGAGUAGCAGGAAACCACUCUGGAGCUCGAGGUUCAGAAGAGACAAAAUGACAACACUCCCAAGGAACCCUGCUCCCGGGUGUGUCCCGCACCUUCUCCACACUCCACUGGACGAACUGCUACUUGAUGGAAAUGAAAACUGACUGUAACGGGCCAAGCUUAAAAAGCAACCCCGACAGAAGCCUUAGCUCACUGCUUUUGGUGAACGCUGCCCUCUCAUUAAGAUGGUUUCGCGUCAGAUGCGGUGGCACGAGCUUUUACCCAGCACUUGGGAAGCAGAGGCAGGUGGAUCUCUGGGAAUCCUAGGACAGUUGGGGCUACCUACUGAGACCCACAGACCCACAGAUGAGCUUCCUCCCUCAAUGACUGUUUCAUGGGCUUAAAGAUUGCCAAGUUAACAUUUCAGUAUCUACCAGUGAUAGCUGGGGUCAUCUAACAGCUUAACAAUUCUUUUUUUUUAAACAAUUAAUUCUUAAAGUUAACUGUAUUAGAACCAAUUCUCUGUGAAUAUUCUGUUUCUGGGUACCACAAAACCUCAAGCAAAUAGGACAAAAGGAACGGGGCAGUUUCUGAACUGCUCGCCAGCCAAACUCCGAGACUGCAAAAAAAAAAAAAAAAAAAAAAAAAAAAAAAUAACCUGAGGCUUACCAUGUGGUAAUUCCCAGAGAACAUUCUUUGAGCCUAUCCCCAGUCAUCAGAGAGGAUACAUGACAAACACAGUCUACACACCAGGACCCAUGCUGCCUGUUCCCACCUUUCUUUUUCUAACUCUCUCGCCUUUCCAGCCCUAUGCAACGACCACUGUACACCACACUCACUGCAGCACAGAAGUCGAUGAGAAAAACACAGGAGACCGAAGAUUCCAGAGUGAAAGAGACCAUCCAAGAUGCCCUUCUCAAGCAGAGCACAAUCACGUGCACCUUAAAUUCUGGCACUUGGGAGGUUGGGGCAGGAGGAUCUCAAGUUUGAAGCUGGCUGGACUACAUAGCCUGUCCUAACAUCUUCCCAGUAGACAAAUCCUGACUCCACCCCACAAAGAGACAUCACCUUCCUAUGAUCCAUGGUCAUUCAUAAACAACCUGAUUGUGAGCGAGGUUCCCAAUGUAAACUGAAAUAAGUCCUCUGAUCAGGACAGAUAGAUCAUGUGGUCAGUUGCUUGAAGACUGGAGGGAGCACAUGAAAGGCCAAAACUCUAGAGCUGUGUAACACAGAGCAGUCGGAGUGCUGCUCUACUCAGGGACCCACGCUUAGUUCACACGGCACCCGCAUGUUCUUCUGGUCUUAUGGGUCCUGCACAUAGAUAGGGUGCACGUAAAUUCAUACAUACUCACAUAUACACAUCAUCUCCUAAAAUUUAUUUUAAAAGUUGAAGAUUCUAUAGAUGAAAGACAGACUUGAAAACUACCUGUAGAAUCCUCAAACAAAAGCCACCGAAGAGUGGGGACCAUCCUGGGCGCACUGUAACUCCAGCAAAAAAAGAAACUUCCUUUCGGCUGGAUUUACCCAAACCACACUGGGGCUCCCUGUGGAUGCCUCUCCAGGCCACCAGGACUGUGGCUACAUCGUAGUAUUUUAUUGUUCCUUAGGACAGGUACACAAGCGUGGCCACCAGAUAAACGUCACCACAGGGAGGCAGUAUUUGUAAAAUUCCCUCCUAAGAAUACCCAGGAACGCUAGCCAUCCAUGGUACCGAAGGACCAACCAGGACGGUUAAGAUUCGUUUCAGAGAGAGCUACGAAAAUCUUCAAAGAACUGAAAUCCAAGACAGAUGGAGUCCGAAACAGAAGAUGCGAUGUACAGAACAAAUGAGCAGGCAAACUGAAAGUUCUUCAAAGUAUUUUACUUCAGAUUGAAAAAUGAACAGCGUUGCUCGCUGCUCAGUCCAGAUACACAGUACUCACGAAUACAAUGCUGUCAUCUGGGGAAAUGUAUACACACCUCAAUUCUCCUUCAUGCUUUUUUCUUUUAGAAAGAUACUGUUUACCAAAAAGAAACGUCAGCAGUACAGGAAAAACUAUUUUCCCAAUAAAUUUACGAAAACCUAAGAUUCCCAAUGGAAUCAAGAUUAUCUUCCCGCUACCACCGUAAUAUAAUCACAUGCGUACUGGACACUAAAACCCCACCUAAGAGUACAUUUGCUUCCGACAAUGAGGGUGAUUCUUUAAAAAAAACCAGUGUGGUAAAUGUAACACCGAUCUCUGCAGGUGUUAAGUGUCUGAAAUAGGCAGCUAAUACUGGAUUUAAUAUUAUUUUAUAAAUAAUUGUUCCCUUAGCAGUAAACAUAAGUCUACACAUUCACAAGCCCUACAAAAUAAAUACUGUGAUUACGCACAAUAGGUUAUGACAAACUAGUUUCAAAACAACAAAACUUCAACAUCUUGAUAAAAACUCUGAUCAGAAUAAAAUGUGACUCUAAAAUUGAAAACAGUCAAAGUAACAUCACAUUAAAAUCGUCCACCGUUUACACAGUACUGUAAGUUUCCAGUUGUGGAACACAUUUUCCCCCAUUGUAAAUUAAAAUAUGAACAUAUUGAAAAUUGUUAAUUUCAGUGAUGACACCGGUUUUGGUCUUACUUUAUAGCAUUAUUCUCAUUAUAAAAAGUUUCACUAAGUGUCCAUUAAUGGUCUGAUUGGUCUUCAGUAUUUCCUAUGUGAAUAGAAAAGAAACCCCUAAAAGCCAACAGUACUUCACACACACACAUAUAAAAGAAUCCAUCUUGGAAAUGGCCGUACUGAACAGAGCCACACACACACCGAUGCUGGACAGACAGGAGGGCUUUCACCUCCUAAGACCACUCUGAUGACGAGCGAGCAGAGCGUACAAUCCAUCGUGUUAAAUACCCCACCUGAGUCUCAGGACUCAGCAGGCGAUGAGUAACAGGAUUACACGGUUGCACUUAUAGCUGACCACAGCCAAAAGUUACAGGAUGAUUAAAACAAGCCAGUGUUUACAAAGUUUUAAUUAAAGACAGCAAUUCCAUUAAAGGAGAGGAUAAAGAAUGGGAUGACAAGAAGUAUUUGGUCUUAAUAAGGCAAUACAAAAUCGAUCCAUUAUCAAAGACCAUUUAAUUUUUAAAGAUCAACAAUACCAAAAGCAUAAAGUGGAGUAUAAGAAAAUAGUUUUUUUAUAAGUAUGAUUUAAUUAAAGCUGUUUACAGUUACUCUCCCACAGUAGUAAGCAUGAACCUAAAAAGAAUGAGAGAGGACACCACAAGCACACAGGACGGGACGCAGGGUCAGAGGAGCCAGCAUGCGAGCGAGUGAGUGAGCGAGCCGAGCGAGGGCUGUGGAGCUAGAGGUCGGUCGGUCGCACUGUGACAGAAACAGCCCAGGCCCAGGGAGGCCUUUUGUUUCCUUUGGGGAAGAGUAGGGGAGGGGAAAAAAGACUGCUAGGAAACACACACAAGUCCUGCUAAGGCCCAGC